AGAGAACGCUGGCGGUAGGCCUAACACAUGCAAGUCGAACGGCAGCACAGAGGAGCUUGCUCCUUGGGUGGCGAGUGGCGGACGGGUGAGGAAUACAUCGGAAUCUACUCUGUCGUGGGGGAUAACGUAGGGAAACUUACGCUAAUACCGCAUACGACCUACGGGUGAAAGCAGGGGAUCUUCGGACCUUGCGCGAUUGAAUGAGCCGAUGUCGGAUUAGCUAGUUGGCGGGGUAAAGGCCCACCAAGGCGACGAUCCGUAGCUGGUCUGAGAGGAUGAUCAGCCACACUGGAACUGGGACACGGUCCAGACUCCUACGGGAGGCAGCAGUGGGGAAUAUUGGACAAUGGGCGCAAGCCUGAUCCAGCCAUACCGCGUGGGUGAAGAAGGCCUUCGGGUUGUAAAGCCCUUUUGUUGGGAAAGAAAUCCAUCUGGUUAAUACCCGGGUGGGAUGACGGUACCCAAAGAAUAAGCACCGGCUAACUUCGUGCCAGCCACCGCCGUAA
rnacentral:rRNA from 1 species